rnacentral:miRNA from 1 species
AUUAGGUUGGCGCAAAAGUAAUUGUGGUUUUGUCAUUCCUUUCAAUGACAAAAACUGCAAUUACUUUUGCGCCAACCUAAU